ACGCAAUAGAUACCCUGGUAGUCCACGCCUUAAACGAUGUCUACUAGUUGUCGGGUCUUAAUUGACUUGGUAAACGCAGCUAAACGCGUGAAGUAGACCGCCUGGGGAGUACGGUCGCAAGAUUAAAACUCAAAGGAAUUGACGGGGACCCGCACAAGCGGUGGAUGAUGUGGAUUAAAUUCGAUGCAACGCGAAAAACCUUACCUACCCUUGACAUGGAUGGAAUCCUUGAGAGAUUGAGGAGUGCCCGAAAGGGAACCAUUACACAGGUGCUGCAUGGCUGUCGUCAGCUCGUGUCGUGAGAUGUUGGGUUAAGUCCCGCAACGAGCGCAACCCUUGUCAUUAGUUGCUACGAAAGGGCACUCUAAUGAGACUGCCGGUGACAAACCGGAGGAAGGUGGGGAUGACGUCAAGUCCUCAUGGCCCUUAUGGGUAGGGCUUCACACGUCAUACAAUGGUACAUACAGAGGGCCGCCAACCCGCGAGGGGUAGCUAAUCCCAGAAAGUGUAUCGUAGUCCGGAUUGUAGUCUGCAACUCG
rnacentral:rRNA from 1 species